GACGAACGCUGGCGGCGUGCUUAACACAUGCAAGUCGAACGGAAAGGCCCUGCUUUUGUGGGGUGCUCGAGUGGCGAACGGGUGAGUAACACGUGAGUAACCUGCCCUUGACUUUGGGAUAACUUCAGGAAACUGGGGCUAAUACCGGAUAGGAGCUCCUGCUGCAUGGGGGGGGUUGGAAAGUUUCGGCGGUUGGGGAUGGACUCGCGGCUUAUCAGCUUGUUGGUGGGGUAGUGGCUUACCAAGGCUUUGACGGGUAGCCGGCCUGAGAGGGUGACCGGCCACAUUGGGACUGCGGUACGGCCCAGACUCCUACGGGGGGCAGCAGUGGGGAAUAUUGCACAAUGGGCGGAAGCCUGAUGCAGCAACGCCGCGUGCGGGAUGACGGCCUUCGGGUUGUAAACCGCUUUCGCCUGUGACGAAGCGUGAGUGACGGUAAUGGGUAAAGAAGCACCGGCUAACUACGUG
rnacentral:rRNA from 1 species